GCCGAUUUCGCGUGAAAUCUCGUGUGAAAUCUCGAAUGUGAAUUUGAAACAUUACACAGAACCGGAGAACCCAGAGAGAAAACCAGAGAACCCGAGAACCUGCACAGAACCGCAGAACCCAGAGAGAACACUGGCCACAGACAUUCAUUCUAUUGCUGCUAAAGAAUUUGAAAUAUUAAAACAAAGAAUUAAACCAAUUUUCUGCUCUACCAACACUCGGUAUCAAAAGUGGAGAGACUUUAAACCUUCCAUAGUUACGAGGCGACUCCUCUGGCGUGACGAGGAGGAGGAGACUUCUUGCGCGAAUGACGACGCGACUCACGGUCGAAGAAACGCAUUUCAACGCAAGUUGCAAGUUGCAUGGAUGCAAGAGAUUGUAAAAUUGUUUGGUUUUUGUUGUUUUAUUGAAUUUGAAAC